AAAGUCUGAAGUUACGCUGUCUUUCGGUUGGAUUUCUGGUGCCGUGGUAGGGCUACUUCUACAGUCCCUUGGGGCUGAGCAGAAAUAAUGGGAGCAUGUGCUUCAGCGGGUUCUCAGGGCUCCUUCCUGCAAUUCAGCUCCUCUCUUGGUGCACCCAGGAUUGCCGUGGAGCUGCGACUUCCUCACUGCCUUCAGCAAAACUCGCAUGGACAGGAUUUCCUGCCACAACAUCUGUCUUAGCGAAAGCUUUCCUAUCACAGAGAAAAACCCGCUGAUUCAGACCCUCUGACAAGCGCAAACUAAACCACACCUUCUACUAUGAUCAAAUGAUGGCUUUUUGGUGGCAAUUCCAGCGAAGGGAUCACUUGCGGUUUUUCUCUCAUUCACUUUGUCAAACCGUGGCUGUCACAAAAAGCUCUGGCACAUGGAAUAAGACUGGGAAACGGACCUCAAGGCAAACGAUCCCGGAAAGGUUUGCCUUUCCAAUCCAAGCAAAUCCAAAACAUCUGCAAGAGGAACAACUAACCGAUAAAGGAAAAUAAAAUACACUUUGCUUCAAAGAAAGAGUUCAAUACAACUGGUGAACAUCUGUACAAACUUCAAGCUCUAAGAAGGGCUAAACCAGGUCAGAUGAGCAGCAACAUGAUGAUCUGGAUACUCACAAAACAGUUUUACACUGAAAGGAAUGCAGUGAAGGAAUAAAUUCAGUAGCAGCCUGUCCAAUGAAGUUGGUGGUCCUUAUGUUCUUCAAGAAUGUAAAUUCUUAUGGUCAAACUGUUUUUUGCAUCAUGAUUUGGUUAUGACUUCCAUCCCCCGGGAGAUGGAGCAGGAUUGGGAAGGAGCCUCAGCCCCCUCGGGACCCCUUGGUCACAUCAGGGCACCAUGGACGAGCUAGACCAGUCGCCCCUGGUCUCCUCCUCCACCUCCGGGCCAACGCGUCCGCAGCAGCCCCAGUUCAACUACCAGUUCGUGCUCGACGACGAGAAGGAGGAGGAGGAAGAAGAGGAGGAGGAAGAGGAGGACGAAGACUUCGACGAGCAGCUGGAGGUGAUGGA
rnacentral:lncRNA from 1 species